CUACAGGUAUUCCCUUAGUACUGCGAGUGAAGAGGGAAAAGCUCAAAUUUAAAAUCUGGUUGUUCUUGUAGCAGCCCGAGUUGUAGUUUAGAGAAGUGCUAUCCGCGCUGGCCUGUGCAAAAGUUUCUUGGAAAAGAACAUCAUAGAGGGUGACAAUCCCGUCUUUGGCACAGAUAACCAGGGCUUUUGUGAUGUGCUCUCAACGAGUCGUGUUGUUUGGGAAUGCAGCACUAAAUGGGUGGUAAAUUCCAUCUAAAGCUAAAUAUUGGCGAGAGACCGAUAGCGAACAAGUACCGUGAGGGAAAGAUGAAAAGAACUUUGAAAAGAGAGUUAAACAGUACGUGAAAUUGUUGAAAGGGAAACACUUGAAGUCAGUCUUGUCUUCCAGUGAUCAAGUUACCCCCUUGGGUGACCGCAUUUUCUGGUUGAUGGGUCAGCAUCAAUUUUGAUCAUUGGAUAAAGGCCUAAGGAAUGUGGCAUCUUCGGAUGUGUUAUAGACUUUGGUUGGAUACAAUGAUCAGGAUUGAGGAACUCAGUGUGCCGUCAAUGGUUGGGGCUUAGGCUCACAUNGCACACUUAGGAUGCUGGCAUAAUGGCUUUAAUUGACCCGUCUUGAAACACGGACCAAGGAGUNUAACAUGCAUGCGAGUGUUUGGGUGGAAAACUCAAGCGCGUAAUGAAAGUGAAAGUUGAGAUCUCUGUCAUGGAGAGCAUUGACGCCCGGACCAGACCUUUUGUGACGGAUCUGCGGUGGAGCAUGUAUGUUGGGACCCGAAAGANGGUGAACUAUGCCUGAAUAGGGUGAAGCCAGAGGAAACUCUGGUGGAAGCUCGUAGCGAUUC
rnacentral:rRNA from 1 species